GCCUGAUUUAGUAGGUCCACGAAAGAAAGUAUACGUGCCGUUGGCCUCUUUUGAAGUUGUCAGUUAUAAUUAUCGUAUAAAAAUAUUGCAAAAUUGCAUUACAACAGUUUUGGGAUUUCUAUAUAGUGCAUCAGUGUUCUUUCAGAGGCUCAUAUUUAUGAUAAAAGUUGUCAUCAUUCAGGCUUUGUUUGAGUUGUGAUGGCAAAUUGGUGGUACAGUACUUCACUUCUCAUGAGGGCGUUCAUAUAUUGCUAGACAUUUUCCAGUCUCCUUUUUCUGUAGCUAUAUUAUUUCUGUUACAGAUACUCAGUACUGGUUCAACUCUUUCUAAUCAUCUCUCUCUUGAAAUGCAUAGCCUGGUCCGGAUUCCAUUGGA
rnacentral:misc_RNA from 1 species